rfam:Schistosoma haematobium scaffold821_22, whole genome shotgun sequence.
AUCCAGUUGACGAUUCCCAAAUAGGACGGAACCCUCGUCCUGGAU